rnacentral:rRNA from 1 species
AUUGAACGCUGGCGGCAGGCCUAACACAUGCAAGUCGAGCGGAUGACGGGAGCUUGCUCCUUGAUUCAGCGGCGGACGGGUGAGUAAUGCCUAGGAAUCUGCCUGGUAGUGGGGGACAACGUUUCGAAAGGAACGCUAAUACCGCAUACGUCCUACGGGAGAAAGCAGGGGACCUUCGGGCCUUGCGCUACCAGAUGAGCCUAGGUUGGAUUAGCUAGUUUGUGAGGUAAUGGGUCACCAAGGCGACGAUCCGUAACUGGUCUGAGAGGAUGAUCAGUCACACUGGAACUGAGACACGGUCCAGACUCCUACGGGAGGCAGCAGUGGGGAAUAUUGGACAAUGGGCGAAAGCCUGAUCCAGCCAUGCCGCGUGUGUGAAGAAGGUCUUCGGAUUGUAAAGCACUUUAAGUUGGGAGGAAGGGCAGUAAGUUAAUACCUUGCUGUUUUGACGUUACCAACAGAAUAAGCACCGGCUAACUCUGUGCCAGCAGCCGCGGUAACAC